GAAGCCUACACAUGACUCAGUGAGAAAGAAUGGACAGCCCAACAGAUCAACACCCACGGCCAAUGAUACAUCAGAACACACUUCAUCACAGAUGACAGGAGGAAAGUGAAGUGGGAGGUGAAUGAUGUGCAAAGGACCAUGGAAUGUGGAACCUUGCCCAGCCUGCUGCUCAGGAGGCGAUUGCUCAAGGCUGUCUUAUGCAGAGGAGGUCAACAGUUGACCCAUGAACCAUUUAAACUGGAAGGAAGAAUUAACCAAUACCCUGAGAGAUUGACUACAACUACUUUUUCCUGAAAGUUAGAGUGCAGAGUACAGGAGAGGAAGGCCAUUUACUAAUUUUCCUGCUUCCUUCACCAGUCCUCUACCUCUCCAUACCUAAGGUCCUUCACUCAAUAUACUCAAGUCUUCUCUGCUAUGUCUGCAUUCCCACAUGCCACGGCAUAUAAAAGGUAGGAUAAGGAGUUCCAUCACUUCACACAAGCAUCUACCAGGAGGAGGAAAAUAAAAACAUUUUACCAUCAACUUCGCCACUUGCUGUGAAACCGAAGGCUUGUUAUAUAAGCGUUUGGGGACAUAAUGAAUGUGACUUACAUAUGUCA
rnacentral:lncRNA from 1 species